rnacentral:rRNA from 1 species
UUGAUCAUGGCUCAGAUUGAACGCUGGCGGCAGGCCUAACACAUGCAAGUCGAGCGGCAGCACAGAGAAACUUGUUUCUCGGGUGGCGAGCGGCGGACGGGUGAGUAAUGCCUGGGAAAUUGCCCUGAUGUGGGGGAUAACCAUUGGAAACGAUGGCUAAUACCGCAUGAUGCCUACGGGCCAAAGAGGGGGACCUUCGGGCCUCUCGCGUCAGGAUAUGCCCAGGUGGGAUUAGCUAGUUGGUGAGGUAAGGGCUCACCAAGGCGACGAUCCCUAGCUGGUCUGAGAGGAUGAUCAGCCACACUGGAACUGAGACACGGUCCAGACUCCUACGGGAGGCAGCAGUGGGGAAUAUUGCACAAUGGGCGCAAGCCUGAUGCAGCCAUGCCGCGUGUGUGAAGAAGGCCUUCGGGUUGUAAAGCA